GUCAGUGCGUGUCUGUCCUGUCGAUCGAUCGUGUCAUCUGCGCGUGUUUAUUAAAUCGUUUACCAAUAAGGUUAAUUUAACUAAAUGGUGUGUUUAACGAGUUAAGUUUUAUAAACCUCCGAGUCUUUUAUCCAUUGCCGCCUUUUAAUUUAUGUCCAAUAAUCAGUAAGAUGUGCCUUGUGUAAUUUUUAGUGCAGAGCUUUUUUCCGACACAAAAUUUAAGCGCGAAAUCCACACAGCGUGAGAGAGAGAGAGAGAGAAAUGAGAUCUUAGACAAAGUGAACAACAAUAUGGCAAAUACUUGAAGACAACUCGUGAUUAUAUAAUAUAAAUCUGUCUCCAAAAUGCGCAACUGGCUGGCGUCGAGUCCUGCCAGUCCGGCCAAUCCGGCCAGCUCCUGGCUGGCUGCUAAUUAAAAAAGCGUUGCCUACGUGAACUGGAUUCAUUUGGCUGCAGAACUCGCUCGUGUCAAGUUGGUUGCCGCGGCAAAGCGGCAAUCGGCUGUGUGGCUAUCCAGUUAUACAGUUAACCCAUAGACUACAAAUUGUGUUAGCAGUUACUUAUGCGUGUCAGUGUGUGAGUGUGAGUGUAUGCGUGAGUGCCGCCGACAGGCAAUCAAUACGAACUAGAAAAGGAGAGGGUCAAAGAGACAGGGAGAGAGAGAGAGAGUGGGAGAGAGAGUGAAGGCGAGCAACAGCCGUCGGCAUUUAUACGGCAGGCCGCUAUUUAAAGUUGACGUUGAUGACGUAUGGACAAUAGAUGUCGCCACUUAAAGCCGUUAACCAGCGGCCACGGAAGCAGACGGCGGAAAUUACAAAUGCGUUGACAGGCGGCGAACAACCAAAACGGCUCAGCGGCUGCCAGCGACUGCAGCAAAAGAUGUGUCUACGCAACUAUGGCCAUGCCACGCGCGUUAUCAUUGGACACAUAAUUGCCCUCAAUCGGGCUAAAUGAAAACAACUCGUUGACGUUGCCGCCCCACAAACAAAAAUAACAAACAAAAAAAAAAAGUGUUGAGAGUAAGAAAAGCCUAUUACUAUAUCUUCUAUAAGUAACCGCACACUCCGCUCAUAUCUCAUAUAACAAUUAAGCGCUACGCGUCGCUUAAUUGAAAUGUUUCAAGGCAAACAAAUCAACGGGACAGACCGAAGCCCCAACAAAUUGUGGCACGCAAAUUGGAAUUUCAUUGUCUUCCACUGACAACGGCCAAAUUUUCCGCGCGCUCGGAUGACCCUUGGCUAUACAAUAUCCCAAAUAAUCGUAUACAAUGCGCUACCGUACCCAACGACACAACAACAAUGUUUCCCAGUUGACUCACGUAUCCUUGGUCAUGCCAUACCAUAGAUAUAGUCCUGGUAAACGUCCAAAUUCCUGUAAUAUUCGCUCGCAAAUGGCUUCAGCUGGUAUACAGCCGUUUCUUAACAGGGACAGCGAAAGUAUGCAAAACAAACUUGCGGUUUCUGAUUUGACAAUCGACUAAUAUAUUUGCUGCUACCGCA